rnacentral:rRNA from 1 species
AUUGAACGCUGGCGGCAGGCCUAACACAUGCAAGUCGAACGCGUGGCGGACGGGUGAGUCAUGUCUGGGACACUGCCUGAUGGCGGGGGAUAACUACUGGAAACGGUAGCUAAUCCCGCAUACCUUCCGAUUUUCCCAGAUGGGAGUAGCUAGUUGGUGGGGUAACGGCUCACCAAGGCGACGAUCCCUAGCUGGUCUGAGAGGAUGAGCAGACACACUGGAACUGAGACACGGUCCAGACUCCUACGGGAGGCAGCAGUGGGGAAUAUUGCACAAUGGGCGAAAGCCUGAUGCAGCCAUGCCGCGUGUAUGAAGAAGGCCUUCGGGUUGUAAAGUACUGUCAGCGGGGAGGCGUUACCCGAAGAAGAAGCACCGGCUAACUCCGUGCCAGCAGCCGCGGUAAUAC